GGUCCCGCGUGUCCCCCCCGGCCGCUGUUCGGGCCCGUGCCCCCCCCGGCUCUUUCCCUUCUCGGCCCAGCCGCCGUUUCGGGGGCGAGCCCGGAGCGAGCAGGGCCAGCGGGGCCGCUGUGACACAUCAGAGCUCCCAGCAGUGACACUCGGGCUGCCCUUUCACCUCUUCCUUUCCUUUCCCAGGUUGAAUGUGUACAGUCAGCUUUUAAAUUCCUUUCCAUAAGAAGUCAGACGAGCCUGGAUGCAGUGCAUUUCAGACAGCUCUGCAGUCUCUCCACAAACCUGCACCUGUCUGCAGGAUCUGUGCAGCUACAGCAACCUCCAGGUUUGCAGGCUGGUGAGUCACCAGCGAAGGGCUCUGGGGAUGCACUUUCCCAGGUGAGCAGCAGAACUCACUGCAGACA
rnacentral:lncRNA from 1 species